rnacentral:rRNA from 1 species
GAUGAACGCUGGCGGCGUGCCUAAUACAUGCAAGUCGAGCGAACAGACGAGGAGCUUGCUCCUCUGACGUUAGCGGCGGACGGGUGAGUAACACGUGGAUAACCUACCUAUAAGACUGGGAUAACUUCGGGAAACCGGAGCUAAUACCGGAUAAUAUAUUGAACCGCAUGGUUCAAUAGUGAAAGACGGUUUUGCUGUCACUUAUAGAUGGAUCCGCGCCGCAUUAGCUAGUUGGUAAGGUAACGGCUUACCAAGGCAACGAUGCGUAGCCGACCUGAGAGGGUGACCGGCCACCCUGAGAUGGAGCCCGGUCCCACCCCCCAAGGGGAGGAGCAAGAGGGAAGUCUGCGAAAAGGGGCGAAGCCCGGGCGGAGCAGCGCCGGGUGAGUGAUGAGGUUUUUGGAAUCGUAAAACUUUUUUUUAAGGAAAAAAAAAAUUUGAAAGUACCACGGCACGUCUGGAGGUUACCAAACAAAAAGACCGGGCCAACCUCGGUG